UCUUGGGUUCUAUUUCAUAAGCUUUUGGUAACUUUAUUAAGGAAUGCCAAUAACCAUUGUAUGUAAAUAUAUAUAAUAUGGUGGAUGGAGUUAAACGAUUUGUAAUGAUUUUAUCACAUUUAUUUCAUCACCUUGAUGAUCUUUAGGUUGUGAAGAAUCCAAAUAAUUUGGGCUUACUUUGCUUGACAAUAUAUUAUAUGAAGUUUUGAGUUGGAAUUUAUAUAUUUUGUUUUCAGUUAUUUAUCAAAAUUAUUAAUGUCUCCUUAAACUAUAUUUUAAAUUUUGAAUUU
rnacentral:lncRNA from 1 species